CGCAGGUUGGCUGAUAUUAGCAGGAUUAGGUGAGAAAUUGAGGAGCUGUUGGAAAUGGCGUCUGGUCAAGUCAGUAGACGAGCUCUGCCCCCUAUAUAUUUUUUUAUAUAUUUUUUUAUAUAUUUUAUUAUUUUUUAUAAUGUAUCUAUUUUUAUUUAUUUAUUUUUUCAUAUACUAUUUGUAUAUAUUUUCUUAAAUCUGUGUCUCCAGAACCCCCCAUCCCCCCCCCUCCCCCCCUUUACAUCACCUUUAGGGCUGUUCUAUGUCUAUUUUCUACAUUUUUGUUUCUUUAUACCAACUUUGAAGCAUGUGUUAUGUUAAUAUUAAUUUUUUUUGUUUUAUAAAUAUACCUGGCCAUUAUGGAUUCAUAUCUAUAUUUGUACGCUGGUACAAUUAUUUUUUUUUAUAUAUUGUUACUGACACCUCUUCAUAUAUCGUUUUAAUGUGAUUGUUUGGACUCUAAUGAUUGAAUCUGGACUCUCUGCGAUAUCUUGAAGCACUACAUGGGGAAACCGAAGACUGCGCUAUGUUUUUUAUAUCUUCCUGCAUGCAUUACUGGAUACGUAAACAAUGAUGUAUCUGUGGGAUUCUACAUACUAUUGAUGAGCCUGAAUUUUCGGCUAAUCUCUGAGUGCAACUUUGAAAUUGGGGUUUAUUACGACUAACGUUAUUACCCUAUGAGUUUUCCUUUCUCUAUUUAUGCUCUUAUGUAUAUCUUGUUUUUCCCUUGUCAUAUAUGUAUAAUAUAUAAUUCAAGUAAGUGAACCGAUUUGUUGUGUCUUUUGCUGUUGGGUUCUCUUCUGCAGACUUCAAUGCAAGCUUAAAGAGUUAAGUAAAGUCUUUGCAAAGCAAAAAGAAGCACAUAUUCACAAGAAAAAAAACAUGCUCUGAGAGAGGCUGACAAGGUGACAAUGAAGAGAGCCUGAGAAGAGACAGUAUUAAAUGGAGCCAUAUGCUAGACAGGUCCAGAUUCAGAUGAAGAUCCAUAUUGCAGAGGCCAGACAGAGAUGAGAUAUGCUAGCGUGAUUCCAAAUUAUAUUCUGUCACCUCCGAACAUUGUAC